CCUACGGGGUGCAGCAGUGGGGAAUAUUGCACAAUGGGCGAAAGCCUGAUGCAGCGACGCCGCGUGAGGGAUGACGGCCUUCGGGUUGUAAACCUCUUUCAGUAGGGACGAAGCGCAAGUGACGGUACCUACAGAAGAAGCACCGGCCAACUACGUGCCAGCAGCCGCGGUAAUACGUAGGGUGCGAGCGUUGUCCGGAUUUACUGGGCGUAAAGAGCUCGUAGGCGGUUUGUCACGUCGUCUGUGAAAACCCGAGGCUUAACCUCGGGCCUGCAGGCGAUACGGGCAGACUUGAGUACUGUAGGGGAGACUGGAAUUCCUGGUGUAGCGGUGGAAUGCGCAGAUAUCAGGAGGAACACCGGUGGCGAAGGCGGGUCUCUGGGCAGUAACUGACGCUGAGGAGCGAAAGCGUGGGUAGCGAACAGGAUUAGAUACCCUCGUAGUC
rnacentral:rRNA from 1 species